rnacentral:antisense_RNA from 1 species
CCUGGCUCCCAGCAAGAGGCACAGCGUCGGUCAGCAGACAAAUGAACACCCUCCCCGUCAUAACCUGCCAGGCACUGCUGGAGGGAGUGAACACGUGGCCUGGCACAUCUGGGCAUUUCCAACUGUUGGAAGCAGGGUUCUUCCAGCAUGCCCGUUUUAGAAACCCCACUACGAGGUUCGCCUGUGGUGGUGCGAACCCCAGGCUCACUCGUCGCUCUGACUGAAAGGUGAGCUAGCAGAUGGCCAAUGACAGAUAAGGAUGACUUGGGGAUGGGUGACUGAGGACCUGUGUUUCCAGCAGCCAGGGAGAAAAUAGGAAGAAAGAAGCUGGGGGUGCCCAUAGGCAGAGGGAAGGUGCCAGGGCCUGGUGGCUGGGAGAGGCCUCCCACUGUGAUUCUAGUGGCCUCCAGGCAGUUCAGAGCAUUCAAGUGCACAGAGAUGAAUGGAACCAUUUCUGCCCUCCGGAGCUUGGGAGCUGAGCAUGAGUUGUGUCAUAGGUGGCAAACUGCAUGUGCAGUCAGGGAGGGCUUCCUGGAAGAGGUCACCUGGCUCCCGGCUGGCCCCUGAAUGGCUGUCGCUGCCGGAAUGACUGCCUGAGUCCGAGACCCUGCUCAGGUCGCUGCUCUGGGAGGAAUUCUGAGAGCUGGGGCCGCUGUCCAGCUCAUCCCAGCCCCCUCCGGCCUGCCCAGGCUGAUGCCUCACAGCUGGAGGAAACAGGACAGCCGGUGAGAUCUCUGGGGCUUCAGGUCAGCCCCAUGCCCACCUCCCAGGGCCCUGGACCAGGAGGCCUCAGGGGCUGAGUCCUGAGCUGAGGAUGGGUGGCCACCUUGGCUCCAGCUUCAGCAAACACCAGCCCCCAUGGGCAUCUGCUUCCGCCUCGGGUCCCACCCC